UUUUUGCCCUUUAUAGUCAAUUUUUAACAAUUUUCAUUAAUUUGGUAAAUUUUUGUAAAUUUUUACAAAAUAAUUUCCUCUGUUACUAAUGGGCAAAGUUCAUUAUAGAUAGAGAUAAUUGUAAGUAGCAAGAACUUUCAGUAAAGUAAGAACCUCAAACACAUCACCAUCACCAAAACAUAAUUUUGUCAUGAAUCCAUCUGUGUUCUUUGUUUAAUAUGCACAUAGACC
rnacentral:lncRNA from 1 species